UUUUUUUUCUUUAGGUUACUAAGUUUCAUUUACUAGUAUUUAUGAGUUUUUCUUUUAUUUCCAUUUGACUACAGCUUCUGCUUUUUGACAGCUGCCUUUUCAAAUCUUACGCUGUGAAGUAUAACCCAGCACUACUGUUCCUUCUAGGGAACACUUAAUUAACUCCCUCAAGAGGAUGAUACUUCUGUAGUAAGCAUGUACACAUUGUGAUUGCCCAAAGGUAGGCAGCUUGGUUUUGAUGAAAUGUGAGUACUGCUGGGGUAUUUGCAUACCCCAAGUCGUGAACCUGCAUUUUUUGUGAAUGGCAUCAGUCAUGAAGGAGGUUGAAACAUUAUCCUUUAAGAUGUUUGUCUUUUGUAACUGUGUCCAAAGUCUUUCAGAGUCCUGUGUCUCCACUUCUUUGCCCUGGUCUUGUCAAUCAAUCAAAGACAGAUUACUUCAGAAGUGGAUACAGGAUGUUUUAAAAGUCCAAGACCUUUUUUUACUGUGCUUACACAGUCACCAUUUUGUUAUGCUUUUUUGAGUGAUUUUUCAAGUGAACUUAUUUUCCACAUCUGUUCAAGCUGGUUUUCGCUACGUGUCAUCUUCCUUAACGCUCAAGUUUCACGCUGACACCUCAACAUGAAGGUGGUCUGAGGACCUUUCUUGGGGAAGCAAUGCAUGUGUAGUAGUCUGUGCAAAUGCCAAGGAAGUGUAAUUCCUCUAAAUGUUCAAAGUUACUAUAAAACAAAAUUUUUCUGUAACAGCACUGCUAAUUACCCUUAGCUGUCUUAAAAAAAGAAUAAAAUGUAGAGCUUA